rnacentral:rRNA from 1 species
AUACGGAGGGGGUUAGCGUUGUUUGGAAUUACUGGGCGUAAAGCGUACGUAGGCGGACUGGAAAGUUGGGGGUGAAAUCCCGGGGCUCAACCCCGGAACUGCCUCCAAAACUUCCAAUCUAGAGAUCGAGAGAGGUGAGUGGAAUUCCAAGUGUAGAGGUGAAAUUCGUAGAUAUUUGGAGGAACACCAGUGGCGAAGGCGGCUCACUGGCUCGAUACUGACGCUGAGGUACGAAAGCGUGGGGAGCAAACAGGAUUAGAAACCCUAGUAGUCC